UACGGAGGAUCCAAGCGUUAUCCGGAUUCAUUGGGUUUAAAGGGUGCGUAGGUGGAAUAGUAAGUCAGUGGUGAAAGCCUGUUGCUUAACAACAGAACUGCCAUUGAUACUGCUAAUCUUGAGUACAUCUGAAGUGGGCGGAAUGUGUCAUGUAGCGAUGAAAUGCUUAGAUAUGACACAGAACACCGAUUGCGAAGGCAGCUCACUAAACUGUAACUGACACUGAGGCACGAAAGCGUGGGGAUCAAACAGG
rnacentral:rRNA from 1 species